rnacentral:rRNA from 1 species
ACCCGCUGAAUUUAAGCAUAUAAGUAAGCGGAGGGCGAGAAACUAAAUAGGAUUCCCACAGUAAUGGCGAAUGAACGUGGAGGAGCUCAGCAUGAGAAUUGUGGCCUUCGGCCUUGAAUUGUAAUCUGAAGAUGUGUUGGCCAACGGAGUCGCAGGCGCAAGCCUCUUGGAAAAGGGCACCGUUGAGGGUGAAGGUCCCGUUCGUCCCUUGCACGCUACCGUGUACGGCGCACAUUCAAAGAGUCACGUUCCUUGGGAUUGGAGCGCAAAUUGGGUGGUAAAUUUCAUCUAAAGCUAAAUAUGGACUCGAAACCGAUAGCAAACAAGUACCAUGAGGGAAAGAUGAAAAGGACUUUGAAAAGAGAGUUAAAAGUGCCUGAACUCGCUGCAGGGAAAGCGGAUGGAACCAGCUUUGCUUGGCAAGAUUGUUGUCGACCCGUCUCGUGUGCGAGGGGGAGCGUUGAAUGCCAGGUCGUGACCCGAAUGUUAGACGUGGGUCGCGAUGUUUCUUGCCUUGUGUGUCACAAACGGUUUGCGAUUGAAGACGACCUCUCGGGACACGGAAGCUCGCCCCUGGGUGUGCGAACGUACCGUGCUUUUCCUUCUUUUAGACCGACCGCUGGCCCAGCCGUGGGCGGAAGUCAGCGCACGCUGUGCUCAAAUGGCGUGCGCGCGUGUUCUCGUCACGAGGACUGCUAGCUUCCGCUCCGACCCUCGGUGCUUUAGCUUUUGUGACUAAUGGUUCUCUUCGACCCGUCUUGAAACACGGACCAAGGAGUCUAACAUAUGUGCGAGGUCUUUCGCUGAGAACGGUGAAAAAAUGGCGCAAUGAAAGUGAGUGCUGAGAACCAGUAGAGAAACAUCAGCAGCCGACCGAUCACUUGGGAGAGGUUUGAGCAUGAGCACAUGUGUUAGGACCCGAAAGAUGGUGAACUAUGCCUGGGAAGGGUGAAGUCUGCGGAAACGCAGAUGGAGGCCCGUAGCGAUACUGACGUGCAAAUCGUUCGUCAUACUUGGGUAUAGGGGCGAAAGACUAAUCGAACCAUCUAGUAGCUGGUUCCCUCCGAAGUUUCCCUCAGGAUAGCUGGAGUUGAACAGUUUUUUCAGGUAAAGCGAAUGACUAGAGGAAUCGGGGGCGUGCUGUCCUCGACCUAUUCUCAAACUUUAAAUGGGUAAGGUGCAGUGGUUACUUUGCUGAACCUCUGCGUGGAAUUGCGACUCCAAGUGGGCCAUUUUUGGUAAGCAGAACUGGCGACGAGGGAUGAACCUAACGUUGGGAUAAGGUGCUCAACUGCUCGCUCAUCAGAUACCAUAAAGGGUGUUGGUUCAUUUUAACAGCAGGACGGUGGUCAUGGAAGUCGAAAUCCGCUAAGGAGUGUGUAACAACUCACCUGCCGAAUGGACUAGCCCCGAAAAUGGAUGGCGCUUAAGCGGGUGACCGAUACCCAACCAUUGUUGCACCUGUGGAGGCAUCAAUGAGUAGGAGGGCGUGGGUGCUUGUGAUGAAGCCUGUGGCGCAAGCCUGGGUGAAAUGGCUCCUAGUGCAGAUCUUGGUGGUAGUAGC